rnacentral:lncRNA from 1 species
AUGCACAAAACACACGUGGUUAUGAGGCUGUGUCUGAGCGCGUCUGGAUUCCAGAAACCUGCCCUAGCCCCGUUAGGUACCCUCAUCCCAAAGUUCUCGACAGCCCUGGGAUGCAGAUGCGGCUCCGGCUACCUGCACAUGCCAAAAACAGAGCCCCGGAGGAACCACACGAGUGGGCCCCUGUCGUGCAGCUGGGGAGUGAGGAGCUGGGCCAGGACCCCUGAAGUCACGACUCUGGGGGACCCCUCUAAACCAACCCUGUGUGUGUCCCCAGCACGCUGUAGCCACAGUGAAUGUAUCUUCCAUCACCUGUUCGUGUGCUGGCUGCCAAGGGCCAGCUGCUGGCGUUGUAGAUUACCUGUGCCCAGCGAACAGCAAAGUUUGCAUGGGAAUUUCGGGAGCCUACUGAGAGUAGAUGGCUCGGAAAGGCCGACCUCGCUCCCAGCUGGGGAGAGAGGACGCAGCCGUCAGCUGAGCUCCGUCACCAGGACGCCUCCACCGGGACCACCGUCAGAACAAAGCCCGCAAAUCCGCUUACUUAUCAACCGAGUGGAUUCACUGUUCUUUCUAACCCCACCUGCAGCUGCCUCUGCCCUUCAAAAACCCUUUUGCUGCCCUGUUGGAGGGAAGGAACACGUUUUGGGUCCAGAGAGAGAGGCUUGCACCUGCGUCUCCCUGAAUCCCGUCUUUAGACUUCAUUCACAGGCAGAAGCACAGAGCCAGGGCCCAGGGGAGUCCUCAGGGGGCUCUAACUGCCCAGGACUUGGGUGCCCAGGCGCCUGGAGGGAGAUCAUUCCUAAACCAUUUAUUCAUUCGGCAAACUCACAGGUGGUGCACCUGUCAUGUAAAUUUCAGUCUCCCCCUCCCCCCACCCGCCUGGGCCAGAUCAAACACUGCUGUGGUCUCUGGAGCGCAGCAGGGACUGUGUUCCUUCCUCUCUCCCUCCCUCCCACCUCUUGCCACGGUCUUUCUUGUUCACUGCACUCCAGCAACCAUGACCUUCUGUCUCUUCUUAGCUCUUGCCAAGAUUUCCCCACCCCAGGGCCUUUGCACUUGCUGCUCCUGCUGCCUUGGCGUGUUCCUGCCCUUGGCUCUUCCCACGGUUGGCUCGGUCUCAUCCUCCAGCUCUCAGCUUGA